rnacentral:lncRNA from 12 species
UGCUUUUGCUCGCCAAACCUGGAAGAUGGCUGGCACAGAUGCUCAGGACAUGUAACCUAAACCGGGGGAUCAGAACCAGGAAAUUCCAGGAGCAAGCAAUGCUAGCAACAGCACAUCCAUUGAAACCUUGACUUAUUUGGCUUUGAAGCAACAAUCGUAAUGCCCAACACUAGGUGUUUGAGGGAAGAUUAUGUAAAAUAAUAUGUGCCACUUCCCGGCUCAUACCUAAGAAAUAAUAAAUGUCGGAAUCUCUUUUGCCACCAAGAGAAGCCCAGACGAGGCUAACAAAGGACCAGACCACAAAGAACAGAGGGCAGCCAUCCAGCUUACUACCACUGGACCAACCCACUGAGAUCACAAAAGUACUUCAAGUGAGUCCCAUCCAAGAGAAUGAAGAAAAGAAGUCUUGA